rnacentral:tRNA from 1 species
UAGCUUAGAUGGUAAAGAAUCUGCCUGCAAUGCAGGAGGCCCGGGUUCGAUCCCUGG